GGGUUGUGAGGUUAAGCGACUAAGCGUACACGGUGGAUGCCCUGGCAGUCAGAGGCGAUGAAGGACGUGCUAAUCUGCGAUAAGCGUCGGUGAGGUGAUAUGAACCGUUAUAACCGGCGAUUUCCGAAUGGGGAAACCCAGUGUGUUUCGACACACUAUCAUUAACUGAAUCCAUAGGUUAAUGAGGCGAACCGGGGGAACUGAAACAUCUAAGUACCCCGAGGAAAAGAAAUCAACCGAGAUUCCCCCAGUAGCGGCGAGCGAACGGGGAGGAGCCCAGAGCCUGAAUCAGUGUGUGUGUUAGUGGAAGCGUCUGGAAAGGCGCGCGAUACAGGGUGACAGCCCCGUACACAAAAAUGCACAUAUUGUGAGCUCGAUGAGUAGGGCGGGACACGUGGUAUCCUGUCUGAAUAUGGGGGGACCAUCCUCCAAGGCUAAAUACUCCUGACUGACCGAUAGUGAACCAGUACCGUGAGGGAAAGGCGAAAAGAACCCCGGCGAGGGGAGUGAAAAAGAACCUGAAACCGUGUACGUACAAGCAGUGGGAGCCUCUUAAUGGGGUGACUGCGUACCUUUUGUAUAAUGGGUCAGCGACUUAUAUUCUGUAGCAAGGUUAACCGAAUAGGGGAGCCGAAGGGAAACCGAGUCUUAACUGGGCGUUAAGUUGCAGGGUAUAGACCCGAAACCCGGUGAUCUAGCCAUGGGCAGGUUGAAGGUUGGGUAACACUAACUGGAGG
rnacentral:rRNA from 1 species